rnacentral:rRNA from 1 species
GAUGAACGCUGGCGGCGUGCCUAAUACAUGCAAGUCGAGCGAACAGACGAGGAGCUUGCUCCUCUGACGUUAGCGGCGGACGGGUGAGUAACACGUGGAUAACCUACCUAUAAGACUGGGAUAACUUCGGGAAACCGUAGCUAAUACCGGAUAAUAUAUUGAACCGCAUGGUUCAAUAGUGAAAGACGGUUUUGCUGUCACUUAUAGAUGGAUCCGCGCUGCAUUAGCUAGUUGGUAAGGUAACGGCUUACCAAGGCAACGAUGCGUAGCCGACCUGAGAGGGUGAUCGGCCACACUGGAACUGAGACACGGUCCAGACUCCUACGGGAGGCAGCAGUAGGGAAUCUUCCGCAAUGGGCGAAAGCCUGACGGAGCAACGCCGCGUGAGUGAUGAAGGUCUUCGGAUCGUAAAACUCUGUUAUUAGGGAAGAACAUAUGUGUAAGUAACUAUGCACGUCUUGACGGUACCUAAUCAGAAAGCCACGGCUAACUACGUG